rnacentral:rRNA from 1 species
CCUACGGGAGGCUGCAGUCGAGAAUCAUUCACAAUGGGGGAAACCCUGAUGGUGCGACGCCGCGUGGGGGAAUGAAGGUCUUCGGGUUGUAAACCCCUGUCAUGUGGGAGCAAAUUAAAAAGAUAGUACCACAUGAGGAAGAGACGGCUAACUCUGUGCCAGCAGCCGCGGUAAUACAGAGGUCUCAAGCGUUGUUCGGAAUCACUGGGCGUAAAGCGUGCGUAGGCUGUUUCGUAAGUCGUGUGUGAAAGGCGCGGGCUCAACCCGCGGACGGCACAUGAUACUGCGAGACUAGAGUAAUGGAGGGGGAACCGGAAUUCUCGGUGUAGCAGUGAAAUGCGUAGAUAUCGAGAGGAACACUCGUGGCGAAGGCGGGUUCCUGGACAUUAACUGACGCUGAGGCACGAAGGCCAGGGGAGCGAAAGGGAUUAGAUACCCCAGUAGUC